GAGUUUGAUCAUGGUUCAGAAUGAACGCUGGCGGCGUGCUUAACACAUGCAAGUCGCACGAGAACUCUUUAGCUUGCUAAAGAUAGUAAAGUGGCGCACGGGUGAGUAACGCGUGGGUAAUCUUCCUUCAAAUUGGGGAUAACUCGCCGAAAGGCGGGCUAAUACCGAAUAACAUCUUUGAAACUUCGGUUUUAAAGAUCAAAGGUGGCCUCUAUUUAUAUGCUACUGUUUGAAGAUGAGCCCGCGUACCAUUAGCUUGUUGGUAGGGUAAUGGCCUACCAAGGCUGCGAUGGUUAGCUGGUCUGAGAGGAUGAUCAGCCACACUGGAACUGACACACGGUCCAGACUCCUACGGGAGGCAGCAGUGAGGAAUUUUGCGCAAUGGGGGAAACCCUGACGCAGCAACGCCGCGUGAGUGAUGAAGGCCUUCGGGUCGUAAAGCUCUGUCAAGUGGGAAGAAACUGAUGAAUGAUAAUACCUUUUAUCACUGACGGUACCACUGAAGGAAGCACCGGCUAACUCCGUGCCAGCAGCCGCGUAAUAC
rnacentral:rRNA from 1 species